CCUACGGGAGGCAGCAGUGAGGAAUAUUGGUCAAUGGACGCAAGUCUGAACCAGCCAUGCCGCGUGCAGGAUGACGGCUCUAUGAGUUGUAAACUUCUUUUGUACAAGGGUAAUAUCAGAUACGUGUAUCUGUUUGAAAGUACUGUACGAAUAAGGAUCGGCUAACUCCGUGCCAGCAGCCGCGGUAAUACGGAGGAUCCAAGCGUUAUCCGGAUUUAUUGGGUUUAAAGGGUGCGUAGGCGGUUUUAUAAGUUAGUGGUGAAAAUUCGGGGCUCAACUCUGGACGUGCCAGUAAUACUGUAUGACUAGAGAAUAGUUGCGGUAGGCGGAAUGUAUGGUGUAGCGGUGAAAUGCGUAGAGAUCAUGCAGAACACCGAUUGCGAAGGCAGCUUACCAAACUAUAUCUGACGUUGAGGCACGAAAGCGUGGGGAGCAAACAGGAUUAGAUACCCUUGUAGUC
rnacentral:rRNA from 1 species